rnacentral:rRNA from 1 species
GACGUAGGGCGCGAGCGUUGUCCGGAUUUAUUGGGCGUAAAGAGCUCGUAGGCGGCUUGUCGCGUCGACUGUGAAAACCCGCGGCUCAACCGCGGGCCUGCAGCCGAUACGGGGCAGGCUAGAGUUCGGUAGGGAGACUGGAAUUCCUGGUGGUAGCGGUGAAAUGCGCAGAUAUCAGGAGGAACACCGGUGGCGAAAGGGCGGGUCUCUGGGCCCGAAAUUGACGCUGAGGGAGCGAAAGCGUGGGAGCAAAACAGG